rnacentral:tRNA from 1 species
UCCCUGGUGACUCAGAUGGUAAAGUGUCUGCCUGAAAUGCAGGAGACCCAGGUUUGAUGCCUGGGUUGGGAA